rnacentral:rRNA from 1 species
UACAGAGGUGGCAAGCGUUGUUCGGAAUUACUGGGCGUAAAGGGCGAGUAGGUGGCCAUCUAAGUCAGACGUGAAAUCCCCCGGCUUAACCUGGGAACUGCGUCUGAUACUGGACGGCUUGAGUAUGGGAGAGGAACGUAGAAUUCCAGGUGUAGCGGUGAAAUGCGUAGAUAUCAGGAGGAACACCGGUGGCGAAGGCGGCUAUCUGGACAGAAACUGACGCUGAGGCGCGAAAGCUAGGGGAGCAAACAGG